UUGCUGUGCUGUGUGUUAUCAAACUUCCAGUUUCAGCCACAAUGUCAAUCCCAACAUUUAUUUUGCUUUUAGUAGUUGCAUGUGACAGUAAUGGUCAGACCAUUGAACCAAUCAGAGAGGAGGUGUAUGCACCAGCAGGUAGUAAUAUUACACUUUCAUGCACCUACUCAUCUGCAGUCUCUCUUCAAUGGUAUCUCCAGAACCCUGGAUCAGCUCCUCAGUAUAUCCUGCUUAUCCUGCAUGGUGUCGGGUCUCCAUCACGGGCUCCAGGUCUGGAUCCUCGACUGUCAGUCAAACUAAAUAAUGAGAAGAACCGUGUGGAUCUAGAGAUCUCCUCUGCUAAAGAGGAAGACUCUGCUAUGUACUACUGUGCACUGAAGCCCACAGUGAAAGGAAACCUACAAGCGCUGUACAAAAACCUAACCCGACACAUUCUAUACGUACAUGACAUGACCUACAGGUAAUGAUGCAUCUCAAGGUUUUUCUUUUUGACAGGAAACCUGGUGGGUGUGUUUAAAAACCUACAACAUGUGAAGAGGAGGAGCAACAUUGUAAAUGCCUACUUAUUAUUUCAGAGUCAUAGCAGUGUUUUGGCUUUGCUGUUUUCUAAAAUAUACAUUAAUGUCUGAUCUGUAACAUAGAUAAGAUAUCAGACAGAGUAGGAGAUAUUAAUAAUAAUCUGAGUAAAAGAUAAUGUUUUGGGAUUUUCACCCUCCAGACAUUAUUUCCUAAACU